UACGGAGGAGGCAAGCGUUAUCCGGAAUUAUUGGGCGUAAAGCGUCCGUAGGUGGUGAUUCAAGUCUUUUGUCAAAGCGUGGAGCUUAACUCCAUACCGGCAGGAGAAACUGGGUUGCUAGAGUGCGAUAGGGGCAAGGGGAAUUCCCAGUGUAGCGGUGAAAUGCGUAGAUAUUGGGAAGAACACCGGUGGCGAAAGCGCCUUGCUGGGUCUGCACUGACACUGAGGGACGAAAGCUAGGGGAGCGAAA
rnacentral:rRNA from 1 species